rnacentral:rRNA from 1 species
AGUGAACGCUGGCGGUAGGCCUAACACAUGCAAGUCGAACGGCAGCACAGUAAGAGCGUGCUGUUACCGGGGGGGGGUGGCGGACGGGUGAGGAGUAUAUCGGAACCUGGUCUUUCGGGGGGCUUAACGUAGGGAAACUUACGCUAAUACCGCAGAUGCCGCACCGGGGAAAGCAGGGGAUCUUCUGACCUUGCGCGAAUGAACGCGCUGAUGUCGUAUUGGCUGGUUGGGGGGGUAAUGGCCCACCAAGGCGACGAUUCGCAGCUGGUCUGAGAGGCUGAUCAGCCACCCUGGAGCUGAGCCGGGGACCAUACUCCUGCGGUAGGCAGCAGUCGGGAAUUUUAGGCAAUGGGGGAGAGCAUGAUCCAGCGAGACCGCGUGUGUGAAGACGGCCUCCGGGUUGUAAAGCCCUUUUGUUGGGUGAGAAGAGCAGCCGGUUAAGACGCCGCUGUACUGACGGUACCCGAAGAAUAAGCACCGGCUAACUUCGUG